AUGAGUGUCUGGCAUGGCAGGACAGAGGGGACGGUGACUGAUAGCGCUGUCAGGCGACUGCCACCAUGUUGGGUCAGCUGACAGACGGCUUGCCGUCGGUAUUUUUCAAUGUCUGCCAGAGAGAGAGCGAGCACAAGAGAGAGAGCGAGGAAGGUGGGGGUUACAACGUGCCACGGCAGAAGAUACUAGACGGAGAAGACUGAGCCGGCGCAACUCGGAUUUAUGUAAUUUCCCUCCCUCUGCCUAAUGCAGGGCACUUUUAUUCGCUCAAAGAAUUCCUCUAAUUCCCCAGGAGGGACGUUCCAUCGAGAGCAGAAGAAGGAGACAGGCGGGUUUCUUCUUCCCAACUCACCAGUUCCUGUUUUGACUCAGGAUCUCAUUUCUGGGCUCGAUUUUUACGCUGCGACCCUCUUGAGCCCGGGCUGGGCUGAGCAUGUACCCGAGACAUGGACUCUGGUGAGGACAGAACAGCUUCGCUGGCUCGAUGUCUCCCGACCGUGGGUGAGUGCAGCGCUCCUCUCCUGCACGCCCUGCUGUUCCCUCUCACUCCGGCUUUACCGCACCCCCAUUCCCAUCUUCCACCUUCCAUAUCUGUACUGGUGGAUGAAAGGGCUGGCCCGUGUGAUGAGCCGCUGUUUGUUUGCCGUUUGCCAAAUGUAG
rnacentral:lncRNA from 1 species